AUGUGGCCGAAGAAACCCAGGAUUUACGAGAGCGCAGCAUCGCAGUGCUGCUGCGAGAGCCAGCAGCGCUGCCGGGGAACAGUCGGCUCCCACGGCCUCCCUGGACCGAGCGGCUCCAUUUAUCGAGGGAAACACAAAUGCUUCUGCAGGGAUCCGUGUUCAUUCCUGCGUGGCACUGAAGACAAAACUGCCAUCUGUGCUGUGGCCCAGGCUGCAAUGUUAGUGUUGCCUUCAACCUGCCUUCAUCACACCAUCCUCCCAGGACGCGUGUCCAUCCUGCCAUCUUCCUUGUUGCCCUGUCAUCUCUGCCUGUGCUGCUAAAGCUCUUACCCAAGUGUGCCGCCUUGUGUUUGGAGUGAGUAAUGAAAGUGCUCUCACUCACUUUAUAUCCGCUCAAAACACUGCUACUGAGUUUCAUUUCUCGCCUUGUUAAUUUGAGCUCUUCACUCUCUUUGCGUCCCUCCAUGAGCUUGUUUUCUUCCCAUCUACACAUAAUGUAUCUUCACUUUUAAGACCCUUCUAGGCCUGUCCAAGAUGCUGAAAACACUGUAAACUGCCCUGAAAAUGGCACUGGCCUUUCUCACUCAUCCACUUCUCCUUUUCGGUCUAAUUGUGGGUGACUGAAGCUCCUCGUGUGGCAGCCGAGCAGCUCUGGGGGUGCCUCUUCUGCCAGUCUUGCAGCUUACCCGGCAGUAAUGCCACGUCUUCCAGGGCAUGUGGCAUCUGGGGGCCAGAGGCCACCUCCCUGUUAUCACCCCAAAAUGAAGCCUCAGCAGUGAAGCACUGCUGAGAUUGAAUAAUGCGGCUUAUCCCCAGUCAAGAGUCUGGGUCAUCUGUAUGCACAAGCUCCUCCCAUACGAAUUGCUUAGACUUGGAAGUACCUACAUUUUAUAAACGUAAUUCUAUAAAUCAAAUGGUUUUCACGGGUCACACUUUCCUUUUAUUGCUCUUUGUUAUUUGAGGCAUAUGGUAGCUUUCCGUAAAAUGUCGCCUUAAUUGCCUUCUGGAUAUACCCUAUAAAUCCUGACAAAUGCUUUUAAAAGAGAAAACCAAGGCAUAUUUUUCUUCUAUCAGAGCUUGCUCAACAAACUGCCUGUACCUUUUCCGUGGGGCCUUGCAAAAUGGUGUUAUGUCAGAAAGAAUAAUGCUAUUUAAUUUAUGAACCAUUAAUAUUUAUUGCAUAUACGAUCACUGGCAUUUUGUGUGUGGGAGCUGGGCAGCAGCUAAUAAAAUUGGAAAGAGGUUAUAUAUUUACCA
rnacentral:lncRNA from 1 species